AGGCUCCAUGCCUAGCAUGUAGCCCAACAUGGGGCUUGAACUCACAAUCCUGAGAUCCUGAGAUCAAGACCUGAGCCGAGAUCAAGAGUUGGAUGCUUAACCCAUUGAACCACCCAGGACUCUCAUGAAAUCCCAAGUGGAAAAUUAUCUUAACACUUCACAAAUGGGGUAAGAGUUACUGAAACGUCAGACUUUGCAAAAGUGGGAGAUGAGCUUCUGUGUGGGCAAGUGGCAGACAAUAACUUGAGGGGAAAAUGACCCAAGGAGCAGAAAACUUUGGCUGGGAGAAAGCAAGAGGAAGAACGAGAUCCUGGACUCAAGAGAGGCUGGCAUGACUCGCCCCAGAAUCAACCCUGUGAAGAAGGAGAGAAAUAAAUCCUUUAAAGGCUGUGCUACUCAAGCUGGGAUAAGAACUCCUUUAGGGAUGAGUGGCCAUUUCCAUGAAGUAUAGAAAGCUACAGGAACAUUGUGGAACAUCUUCCUGGAAGUCAGUGAAUGGAGUGAUUUUGGGAAAAGCAUUUUGUUUUAAAUGGCUAAGUAAUAAAUUAUGAAAUAGAAGGCACGAUCUGUACCAAUAUUCAAAGCAAAGACCUCAAAGGAAUUUCAUGCAGCCACAGACAACGGAGGUGCACUCUCUGCUCCUUAAGAGGUGGGAAGGCUUAGGAAGCACUGGUGUAAGGCAAUAAUAACCCCCAACCAUGACACCUCCUCUUCCAUAUCCCUUCCGCAGGGAGUGACAAACAACUGGGAUUUUCUAGGUGUUUACUUCUAAAUUAUUGC